CGACGGAGCACCCUUGACUGAGGUUUCGGCCAAUGAUAGGAAUGCUUAGUGGCGGACUGGUGAGUAACGCGUGAGGAACCUGCCUUCCAGAGGGGGACAACAGUUGGAAACGACUGCUAAUACCGCAUGACGCAUGACCGGGGCAUCCCGGGCAUGUCAAAGAUUUUAUCGCUGGAAGAUGGCCUCGCGUCUGAUUAGCUAGAUGGUGGGGUAACGGCCCACCAUGGCGACGAUCAGUAGCCGGACUGAGAGGUUGACCGGCCACAUUGGGACUGAGAUACGGCCCAGACUCCUACGGGAGGCAGCAGUGGGGAAUAUUGGGCAAUGGACGCAAGUCUGACCCAGCAACGCCGCGUGAAGGAAGAAGGCUUUCGGGUUGUAAACUUCUUUUGUCAGGGAAGAGUAGAAGACGGUACCUGACGAAUAAGCCACGGCUAACUACGUGCCAGCAGCCGCGGUAAUACGUAGGUGGCAAGCGUUGUCCGGAUUUACUGGGUGUAAAGGGCGUGCAGCCGGGCCGGCAAGUCAGAUGUGAAAUCUGGAGGCUUAACCUCCAAACUGCAUUUGAAACUGUAGGUCUUGAGUACCGGAGAGGUUAUCGGAAUUCCUUGUGUAGCGGUGAAAUGCGUAGAUAUAAGGAAGAACACCAGUGGCGAAGGCGGAUAACUGGACGGCAACUGACGG
rnacentral:rRNA from 1 species